rnacentral:rRNA from 1 species
AGAUUAAGUUAUUAAGGGCGCACGGUGGAUGCCUUGGCACUAGAAGCCGAUGAAGGACGUUACUAACGACGAUAUGCUUUGGGGAGCUGUAAGUAAGCUUUGAUCCAGAGAUUUCCGAAUGGGGAAACCCAGCAUGAGUUAUGUCAUGUUAUCGAUAUGUGAAUACAUAGCAUAUCAGAAGGCACACCCGGAGAACUGAAACAUCUUAGUACCCGGAGGAAGAGAAAGAAAAUUCGAUUCCCUUAGUAGCGGCGAGCGAAACGGGAAGAGCCCAAACCAACAAGCUUGCUUGUUGGGGUUGUAGGACACUCUAUACGGAGUUACAAAGGACGACAUUAGACGAAUCAUCUGGAAAGAUGAAUCAAAGAAGGUAAUAAUCCUGUAGUCGAAAAUGUUGUCUCUCUUGAGUGGAUCCUGAGUACGACGGAGCACGUGAAAUUCCGUCGGAAUCUGGGAGGACCAUCUCCUAAGGCUAAAUACUCUCUAGUGACCGAUAGUGAACCAGUACCGUGAGGGAAAGGUGAAAAGCACCCCGGAAGGGGAGUGAAAUAGAACCUGAAACCGUGUGCUUACAAGUAGUCAGAGCCCGUUAAUGGGUGAUGGCGUGCCUUUUGUAGAAUGAACCGGCGAGUUACGAUUUGAUGCAAGGUUAAGCAGUAAAUGUGGAGCCGUAGCGAAAGCGAGUCUGAAUAGGGCGUUUAGUAUUUGGUCGUAGACCCGAAACCAGGUGAUCUACCCUUGGUCAGGUUGAAGUUCAGGUAACACUGAAUGGAGGACCGAACCGACUUACGUUGAAAAGUGAGCGGAUGAACUGAGGGUAGCGGAGAAAUUCCAAUCGAACCUGGAGAUAGCUGGUUCUCUCCGAAAUAGCUUUAGGGCUAGCCUCAAGUGAUGAUUAUUGGAGGUAGAGCACUGUUUGGACGAGGGGCCCUCUCGGGUUACCGAAUUCAGACAAACUCCGAAUGCCAAUUAAUUUAACUUGGGAGUCAGAACAUGGGUGAUAAGGUCCGUGUUCGAAAGGGAAACAGCCCAGACCACCAGCUAAGGUCCCAAAAUAUAUGUUAAGUGGUAAAGGAUGUGGCGUUGCCCAGACAACUAGGAUGUUGGCUUAGAAGCAGCCAUCAUUUAAAGAGUGCGUAAUAGCUCACUAGUCGAGUGACACUGCGCCGAAAAUGUACCGGGGCUAAACAUAUUACCGAAGCUGUGGAUUGUCCUUUGGACAAUGGUAGGAGAGCGUUCUAAGGGCGUUGAAGCAUGAUCGUAAGGACAUGUGGAGCGCUUAGAAGUGAGAAUGCCGGUGUGAGUAGCGAAAGACGGGUGAGAAUCCCGUCCACCGAUUGACUAAGGUUUCCAGAGGAAGGCUCGUCCGCUCUGGGUUAGUCGGGUCCUAAGCUGAGGCCGACAGGCGUAGGCGAUGGAUAACAGGUUGAUAUUCCUGUACCACCUAUAAUCGUUUUAAUCGAUGGGGGGACGCAGUAGGAUAGGCGAAGCGUGCGAUUGGAUUGCACGUCUAAGCAGUAAGGCUGAGUAUUAGGCAAAUCCGGUACUCGUUAAGGCUGAGCUGUGAUGGGGAGAAGACAUUGAGUCUUCGAGUCGUUGAUUUCACACUGCCGAGAAAAGCCUCUAGAUAGAAAAUAGGUGCCCGUACCGCAAACCGACACAGGUAGUCAAGAUGAGAAUUCUAAGGUGAGCGAGCGAACUCUCGUUAAGGAACUCGGCAAAAUGACCCCGUAACUUCGGGAGAAGGGGUGCUCUUUAGGGUUAACGCCCAGAAGAGCCGCAGUGAAUAGGCCCAAGCGACUGUUUAUCAAAAACACAGGUCUCUGCUAAACCGUAAGGUGAUGUAUAGGGGCUGACGCCUGCCCGGUGCUGGAAGGUUAAGAGGAGUGGUUAGCUUCUGCGAAGCUACGAAUCG